ACAUACACUCUGCUUCAGUAGUGUUCGGUUAUUUUCUUCCGCUGUAUUUUAUUUGCACAAACCGGUGGUAAAUAACGUUAAUAAAAAAACAAACAUUAAAUAAAAUUAACAAUAAUCAAUGCAUUGCCGCGGUUUUAGACGACUUCAUGGCAUCGGAUACAGCUAAUAUGUAACGGCCAGGGGUAAAAAUCCACAUAUGGGAAGCUGCUAAAUUGUUGCUUGCUAAUCCCAUGAAACAAUUCCGUUACCUUAUCACUAGCAGCAGAACGCCAGCUUACCCGCAUCGACAGAAUAUGAGUUACAUAUUUACAUGAAACGGUCGUGUGUACCCUGAACUGAUAGUAUUUACUCGAGAAAUAGAUGCCGGAAUGCUUGGUGGAAGCAGCCCUGAAAGAAGUUUGGAAUGCUUGAUCGUUGCUGGUGUUUCAAUAACAGAUGACAAAAGCAAGAUUAUUUUGACGGCUAUUUCUGGAACAAGAUAUCGAUCCGGAAAUAAGAAAAGACCAUCGAAAAGUAUUUUGCUUUCCAAUUCAUCAAGAAUUGCACAGCAGGAGGAGAAAAUCAUUCAAAGAUUUGCUCCGAACAAGUCUAAUCUGUAUAAAAUCAUUCAAAGAUUUGCUCCGAACAAGUCUAAUCUGUAUUGGCUAUACAGCAACUGUUUGAGCUGAAUUUGAUCAACAUCAAGAAAGUUAGCAUCAGCGUCAUAGUACCUACUGAGCCAUUACGGACGAAUAUGAUUAUCUGAACGAGAAUUAAGCAAGCGGAAAACGAUAAAAAAACACAUGGAUUCGGGCUCGGAGAAUUCGGUUUGGUGAAAAACGAAUCACGGAAGAAAUUUCGAAAGUCUAAUGGCAGUUCUUCUGAUAUCAUGUCUCAUAAUUUGCUGCUGAAUAUCUAACCGGGAGAAGUAAACACGCAUAUCGUUGAGCGAAUUUUGAAACUUGACAAAACUGCAAAGGAACGGUUGCUGGCAAAAAAGUGCAAACCACAAGGUAUUAUAAUAACUGCUAGAAUUUUGCCCUCAUGGAACCAGAGUCGAGUGUGCAUUUACUGAAGGCUGCGGAUAGCGCAUUUGAACAGUAAGGAUGAUGACGUUAUUACUAUCGAUUCGUAAUCGCCGAUGUUAAGAAGGAGAAGGCGGAUAAACCUGGGGAUAAACAAUCAACCUCCAAGGUAUUCAAUAACCGAGUCUCGUUAUUGUCAACAAUCCAUGAUCGAAUGUUUCACUUCUGAGAAUAUAGAAACGCCUGUCGGAUUCUUUGCCUUAUUGGUGGCAGUGGUAAGAAAGCGCAUUGUGAGAGCAUGCCUGUCUCCUGUAUUCGAGAGUGCUGUCCGACUGGUGGCCAUCAUAGCCGCGGUGCUUUGAUGUAAUUAACUUGAUAGUGUCAAUCUCAUUCGGGUGACCAAUGUUAGUUUGUACCUUUUACUAUACUUUUUUUUAAACUUUCUAAAACUUGUUUGGUGGAAUGGCUUAUAUGUAUUCCAAUAAAUUCCAGCAUUUGAUGACUCUAAAGAUUCAUAUUUCGACAGGAACAGUAUAGUAUAUGGCCUUCUACAGUGUUUCACUGUUAACUGACCGUUAAGUAAAAUAACUCAUGUCUUACAUUUCACACCAACAAUAAAAUAUGUAUACACUAGAUAAAUAAAUUAAUUCUAUAUCAAUUGUUACAUAGAACCAAAAUGAACCGAACAACAACAUGCAAGCGACACGGUGGCAAUUCACAUCUGGCUGGUUUGAACUCUCUUAGCAAACCAUUGCAAAGCUAUCUCAAUCAGGCUCCUCCAUCGAGUCUUGAUCCGUUCAGUGAGGGAGGUCCAAAUAGCGAAGUGGGUUGGG